rnacentral:rRNA from 1 species
AUUGAACGCUGGCGGCAUGCCUUACACAUGCAAGUCGAACGGCAGCACGGGAGCAAUCCUGGUGGCGAGUGGCGAACGGGUGAGUAAUAUAUCGGAACGUGCCCAGUAGUGGGGGAUAGCCCGGCGAAAGCCGGAUUAAUACCGCAUACGACCUAAGGGUGAAAGCGGGGGACCGUAAGGCCUCGCGCUAUUGGAGCGGCCGAUAUCAGAUUAGGUAGUUGGUAGGGUGAAAGCCAACCAAGCCAUCGAUCUGUAGCUGGUCUGAGAGGACGACCAGCCACACGGGGACUGAGACACGGCCCAGACUCCUACGGGAGGCAGCAGUGGGGAAUUUUGGACAAUGGGCGAAAGCCUGAUCCAGCCAUGCCGCGUGCAGGAAGAAGGCCUUCGGGUUGUAAACUGCUUUUGUCGGGGAAGAAACGCUCUGGGCUAAUACCCUGGGGUAAUGACGAUACCCGAAGAAUAAGCACCGGCUAACUACGUGCCAGCAGCCGCAGUAA